UGGUAGUUUUCGUGUUCUUUGGGGAGGUCGUUUGGUGAACUACAGGUCAUUUGACCAUCUGAGUUUAGUAUGCACUGCAAGGAUCAUGGUUCCGGGUCUCGAACGGAUGCAAGCAACAGAUGCGCCGUGCCCAUCGGAUCGAGUAGCUUGUCCGAGCGUCUCGCUGCAGCGUGCUGUUUGAGGCAGGACUUCUCUUGGCCUCACCGUAAUACCUUCAUCUUGGUCGACAUGUUGGUGGACACUUUUAUGUUUUGUAUUGUGCGGUGACUAUGUAAUUCUUAUUGCAGUGCAUGCAGUGUAUUAUAGGUAAUCAAAAUAAAGAAUAUGCCUGUUA